GCGCUAUUGGAGCGGCCGAUGUCAGAUUAGCUAGUUGGCGGGGUAAAGGCCCACCAAGGCGACGAUCUGUAGCUGGUCUGAGAGGACGACCAGCCACACUGGGACUGAGACACGGCCCAG
rnacentral:rRNA from 1 species